GACGAACGCUGGCGGCGUGCCUAACACAUGCAAGUCGAACGGAAAGUUAGCAAUAACUUUUAGUGGCGAACGGGUGAGUAACGCGUGGGCAACCUGCCCUUCAGACGGGGACAACAUUCCGAAAGGAGUGCUAAUACCGGAUACGACCUUUAGACCGCAUGGUUUAAAGAAGAAAGGUGGCCUCUAUUUAUAAGCUACCGCUGAAGGAUGGGCCUGCGUCUGAUUAGCUAGUUGGUGGGGUAAAGGCCUACCAAGGCGCCGAUCAGUAGCCGGUAUGAGAGAGUGAACGGCAACACUGGGACGGAGACACGGCGCAGGAUCCUACGGGAGGCAGCAGUGGGGAAUCUUCCGGAAUGGGCGAAAGGCUGACGGAGCAACGCCGCGUGAGUGAAGAAGGUCUUCGGAUUGUAAAGCUCUGUUUAAAGGGACGAAUGGCUAGAUUGUGAAUAAUGAUUUGGCAUGACGGUACCUUUGGAGGAAGCCACGGCUAACUACGUGCCAGCAGCAGCCGCAG
rnacentral:rRNA from 1 species